rnacentral:misc_RNA from 1 species
UCGCGGCUUAUCACCGGCAGUCCCCUUAGAGUGCCCAACUAAAUGAUGGCAACUAAGGGCGAGGGUUGCGCUCGUUGCGGGACUUAACCCAACAUCUCACGACACGAGCUGACGACAGCCAUGCAGCACCUGUCUCCGGUCCAGCCGAACUGAAGAACUCCAUCUCCGGAGUCCGCGACCGGGAUGUCAAGGGCUGGUAAGGUUUUUCGCGUUGCAUCGAAUUAAUCCACAUCAUCCACCGCUUGUGCGGGUCCCCGUCAAUUCCUUUGAGUUUUAAUCUUGCGACCGUACUCCCCAGGCGGUCUACUUCACGCGUUAGCUGCGGUACUGAGAAAUCGCUUCCCCAACACCUAGUUGACAUCGUUUAGGGCGUGGACUAC